GACGAACGCUGGCGGCGUGCUUAACACAUGCAAGUCGAACGGAAAGGCCCUGCUUGCAGGGUGCUCGAGUGGCGAACGGGUGAGUAACACGUGGGUGAUCUGCCCCUUACUUUGGGAUAAGCCUGGGAAACUGGGUCUAAUACUGGAUAGGACCAUGCUGUAGGUGGUGUGGUGGAAAGAUUAGUUUCGGUAAGGGAUGAGCUCGCGGCCUAUCAGCUUGUUGGUGGGGUAAUGGCCUACCAAGGCGUCGACGGGUAGCCGGCCUGAGAGGGUGGACGGCGGCAUUGGGGCUGAGAUACGGCGCAGACUCCUACGGGAGGCAGCAGUGGGGAAUAUUGCACAAUGGGCGCAAGCCUGAUGCAGCGACGCCGCGUGGGGGAUGACGGCCUUCGGGUUGUAAACUCCUUUCAGCCAUGACGAAGCCCUUGUGGUGACGGUAGUGGUAGAAGAAGCACCGGCUAACUACGUG
rnacentral:rRNA from 1 species